rnacentral:rRNA from 1 species
AUUGAACGCUGGCGGCAUGCCUAACACAUGCAAGUCGAACGAGUGGCGGACGGGUGAGUAAUGUCUGGGGAACUGCCCGAUGGAGGGGGAUAACUACUGGAAACGGUAGCUAAUACCGCAUACCAUCGGAUGUGCCCAGAUGGGAUUAGCUAGUAGGUGGGGUAAAGGCUCACCUAGGCGACGAUCCCUAGCUGGUCUGAGCGGAUGACCAGCCACACUGGAACUGAGACACGGUCCAGACUCAUAAGGGAGGCAGCAGUGGGGAAUAGUGCACAAUGGGCGCAAGCCUGAUGCAGCCAUGCCGAGUGUAUGAAGAAGGCCGUCGGGUUGUAAAGUACUUGCAGCGGGGAGGCGUUACCCGCAGAAGAAGCACCGGCUAACUCCGUGCCAGCAGCCGCGGUAAUAC